rnacentral:misc_RNA from 1 species
AAAAUUCAAAUGGGAUUGUUGAGGAGGCUACUGAGGAGGAGCUAAUGGAUGCAAUGGCGCAAGCAGAUUCUACUGGGAUGUUUAUAUGUCCACAUACAGGGGUGGCAUUGACAGCAUUGAUUAAGCUCAGGAAUAGUGGGGUUAUAGGGCCUACUGAUCGGACAGUGGUUGUGAGUACUGCUCAUGGGUUAAAGUUUACUCAGAGUAAGAUUGAUUAUCACUCUAGUGAUAUUAAGGAUAUGGCUUGUAGGAUUGCUAAUCCACCCGUGAGUGUUAAGGCUGAUUUUGGGUCAGUUAUGGAUGUUUUGAGGAAGUAUUUGUUGAGUAAAGAAUCGAAAUAUUAGGUUGAUCAUUGUUAGUUUUGCUUAUGCAGCUCUAGCUCUAGCUCAUUGUUGUUUCUGUAUGGUCACUGUUGUUGUCAUUUAAGGAUUUUU